rnacentral:rRNA from 1 species
UCGGGAAUUUUGGGCAAUGGGCGAAAGCCUGACCCAGCAACGCCGCGUGAAGGAUGAAGUAUUUCGGUAUGUAAACUUCGAAAGAAUAGGAAGAAUAAAUGACGGUACUAUUUAUAAGGUCCGGCUAACUACGUGCCAGCAGCCGCGGUAAUACGUAGGGACCAAGCGUUGUUCGGAUUUACUGGGCGUAAAGGGCGCGUAGGCGGCAAUUCAAGUCAUCUGUGAAAUCUCCGGGCUUAACUCGGAACGGUCAGAUGAUACUGCUUUGCUAGAGUGCAGAAGGGGCAAUCGGAAUUCUUGGUGUAGCGGUGAAAUGCGUAGAUAUCAAGAGGAACACCUGGGGUGAAGACGGGUUGCUGGGCUGACACUGACGCUGAGGCGCGAAAGCCAGGGGAGCAAACGGGAUUAGAUACCCAAGUAGUCCCUGAGCGGGCUGGCAAGGCGCAU